GGCUUUCUGUGGUUAUAUACUAAAAUUGGAACGAUACGAGAAGAUUAGAAUGGCCCCUGCGCAAGGAUGACACGCAAAAUCGUGAAGCGUUCCAUAUUUUU